rnacentral:misc_RNA from 1 species
UUUGUGUAUGGCGGGUGGUAUCAUGUUGACGUUUUCGGUUUUCCGAGUGAGAAUACGUCUACGAAUGCCGUCGCCAGCGAAUUUCGCGUAAGGCAGGAUCGUCGUCACCGUGCCGAUGGUUGUCGACGAUCGACCGCGACCGGUCGAGCGCGGCCCGUUGCGAUGCUUCGUGCCGGCCAUCUCGUCCGGCUUCGGCGAGCAUAUUGAGGAAUAUGAGGUGCUGAAUUUAUUAGGCAAGGGCGGCUACGGAAGCGUCUACCGAGCGAGAUGUCUCCGCAGCGGCAAGGAAGUCGCGAUCAAAAUGAUCGACAAGAAAUCGAUGCAGGCUGUUGGGAUGAUGGAUAGAGUUAGGCAGGAAGUAGAGAUACAUACACGGUUGAAACAUCCAGCUAUCCUGGAGGUCUAUACAUGUUUUGAAAAUGUAAAUUAUGUGUACCUGGUCUUAGAAUUGUGUCACAAUGGAGAGCUUCAGCGCUACCUUAAAACGCAAGGCACCAAUGCUCUAUCCGAAGAACAGGCUGCCUACAUAAUCAAACAAGUAGUGCAAGGCUUGCUUUAUCUCCAUUCCUAUCAGAUACUUCAUAGAGAUUUGUCACUGUCCAAUCUACUUUUGACUAGAGAUAUGCAGGUGAAAAUAGCAGAUUUUGGAUUGGCCACGCAAUUGAACAAACCAGAUGAAAAGCAUUUAACUAUGUGUGGUACGCCAAACUACAUUUCGCCUGAAGUUGCUACGAGAUCAUCACAUGGUCCAGAGGCAGAUGUAUGGAGCUUGGGAUGCAUGUUGUAUACUUUAUUAGUGGGCAAGCCACCGUUCGAGACUGAUGCGAUUAAGAGCACUCUAACCCGAGUGGUCAUGGCCGACUAUGAGAUGCCUUCUCAUCUGUCAGACAAUGCAAAGGAUUUAAUAAGUAAAUUGCUGAAGAAGAAUCCAAAAGAAAGAAUAUGUCUGCGAGAUAUUCAUAAGCAUCCAUUUAUAACAAGCAUAGAAAAAAAUAGGUUGCAUAACAAAAGAAACAAUGUGAGGAAAAAUUCAUUUACCGAUGGAAUGAUAGAUUCCGGGCUCGGCAGAACACUGUCGUCAUACGGUCGACCGAAAAUACGAUCCCGAUCGGAGGAAAGAAUGUCCACGAUGCCGAUGAUGCCUAUGGUCAGCGUGAGAAGCGAGCCUUUGUCCGAAUCUGUUGCGAAAAUGCACUUGAAUCAGGGCGCAAGAUACGCCAAUUACCACUUGAAAGAAGACUCUUUGAUGGGCAUUUUGACGCCACGUGGUAGAGCAUUCUCACAGAGUGAACAGUACAGCAAUUAUAAUGCCUACAACAACUCCGAGAGACCGAGGAUAGUUGAAAGACCCAAGCCAAGAAAGGAAAAUAUUGUGGAGAAUCGUAAUGCGGAGGGAACUCAGAAGAAUACAAAGUUACAAGUGUCGCCCUUAAAUUCCAACAGACUACAGCCUACCAGGCACAAGACGAAGGGCGCGAUUCUCACUAUUCUAGAUAACGGAGAAGUGUGCAUUGAGUUUAUUAAGUGUAGGCACGGCAUGGAAAAGAUAAGUGAGGUGUGCAGAAUAUCGGGCGACGGUCUGCGAGUCGUUCUUUACAAACCAGACGCGACUAAGGAGAUUGGCUCACAACCGCUACCAUUACCUACUCGAGGUGCCGAUAGUAUUUAUUCGUAUGAGAAUUUGCCAGCGUGUCAUCAUCGGAAGUAUUUGUACGCUUUCCGUUUCGUAAAAUUGGUCCAGGCAAAAACCCCCAAGUUAACACUUUACACUCAACGCUCUAAAUGCUUAUUCAUGGAAAAUGGUCCGCAGCCUGACUGUGAAGUGAGCUUUUACAAUGGAAUAAAAAUUGUCCGGGUGGACGGUGUCGUGAAGAUCACCGACAAUAGCGGUGCCACAUUUGUCGAAGGUGCAUUUCCAUCACACCUCGAAAAUUAUUACGAGCAUUACUCAGAAUGUUAUCAGCAUUGCUUGUUAUUGGAAUCUACUCUAGCAUCUUUGGAGGCAGCCACCGGGCAUUCUUGCUUUCCCGUAAUAAUCGGACGACGGCCCAAUACGGCCUUAAAUGAUGCUCCCUGUUUUCAGGGGAAAGAAAACGUCUCGCACAUUACAAACGGUUCUCCAGUCAUGCCAUCGUUCGACGGUACCUGCUCCGUCAUCUCGACGGUGACUUCUAGAUCGUACAAGAAUUCCACGCAUAAGUCGAACAAUAUGAACAAGGUGGCGGUACCGGGUAUUGGCUUUGCUACGAAAUUGUCAUCUGGCGAUAUUAGGGUCGAUUAUAAAGAUGGAUCUGCCUUAACUGUAAGUCCACAAAGUCACAACGGUGACAUAACGUACGAGAGUACCGACGGCAUCGUUAUACGAUAUAACAAGCAUCGUCAGCAGAACUUAGAGAUACCAGUCCAAGAGAAGCUCCGACAAUUGCCGAUAGUUAUCAAGUAUCUCGUGAAUGAAACGAUGCCCAAAGGCAUUCGGUAACUCCACAUAGAAAUACACAAUAUUUUGUACAAUAUAAGAAAUCGUCUUUGCCUAUUGACUAUAGAGGAUGAGAGGCAAUUACUUGGUACAAUUAUAUAAAUAAGGCAUAUAUAAAUAAAUAUUAAAAAUAAUUCUUAUAAGAGUGGAAUAAAAUUAAGAAUUUUUCCAUUAUUUGCAAUAAGUAUAGAAGCAUUCUACGAAAUCUGAUAUCUCCUACUCUCUAAAGUUACAAAUUACACAGGUAUAUUUAUUCUUAUUUUUAUUGAUAGAAAAAAAUUAUAUAUUAAAUCAUUAUAACAAUCUUGCUGUUCCGCCGAACAGCAAUGAGAAAUAAAUUUGUAAUAAAUUA